ensembl:lncRNA
CUCUUCUCUGCCCCCAGCAAAACAAAGGGUGUGAUCUCUCAUUCUGCCACGAGAGGGCGCAUUCGUCUGUUCCAGCCCGGACCUGCGCCUGCGCAAUAUUGGGCUAGAGCUGGGUGGCCAGUCGGAAUCUCAACAGACCGCCCCGCCCCGGGCUAGGGAUACACGUCAGAGGCGCUUGCUGAGCGCGGCGGCUGGAGGGGACCCACAGCCUCUUGUCCUCCCCUUCCGGGUCCAGAGGAUGUUCUCCCAAAACAUCAAAAUAGUGAGGAGGACCCGAGGGGAGGCAGGGGACUGGACACAAUGCCCUCUUUCCUACCUUCCCCAUCAUCUAUAUCAUUCCUCGGACUUAAAAGGACAAUUCCAUUUUUACCCACCCCCACGACAUUUGGGGGAACCAGCCUGAAGACCUAAGUGUACCCAUAAUACCCCUCCCCUACUCGGCCUUUUAUCGGUGAACUUGUCUUCAAAGGGGUUCCUUGAGCCUCCUGACCGCCCACAGCUAUCAGUCUUGAAUCUGAGAAGGCCAGAGGCCACCCCUGGCCAAACAUUUUAGCUUAGAGGAGAUGGUAUGAUUAUUUAUGCGGAAAACCCAAGAGAUUCCAUAGGUAUGUUGUCAAGAGUUACUCAGAGAGAUCAGCCAGGAUGCUGGACAAAAUUUAACAUCCAAAUUCAAAUAGAAUACAGAAUUCAACAGUGUUUCUAUACUCAAG